rnacentral:rRNA from 1 species
UUGGAGAUUCCUGUACUGCAUAUGGUCAGAACUGUGGGGACACGGGGUGUUAACGAAGCCGGGAAAGGAAAGACCGGUCCAAGCACAGGAGGCGUUGCGCAGGCAAAUCCGCGCAAUAAGCCAAAGGUGUGACGGGGAGCGAAAUUAUAGUAGCGAAGUCCGGAUACAUGCUGUCAAGAAAAGCCGCUAUUGCGCCAUAUGUACCCGUACCGUAAACCGACACAGGUGGAUGAGGAGAGAAUCCUAAGGCCGGCGGGAGAAGUGUUGUUAAGGAACUCGGCAAAAUGGCCCCGUAACUUCGGGAGAAGGGGCGCCCAGAAAUGGGCCGCAGAGAAAAGGCUCAAGCAACUGUUUAGCAAAAACACAGGUCUAUGCGAAACCGAAAGGUGAGGUAUAUGGGCUGACGCCUGCCCGGUGCUGGAAGGUUAAGGGGAGAGGUUAGCCGCAAGGCGAAGCUUUGAACUUAAGCCCCAGUAAACGGCGGCCGUAACAAUAACGGUCCUAAGGUAGCGAAAUUCCUUGUCGGGUAAGUUCCGACCCGCACGAAAGGCGUAAUGAUUUGAGCACUGUCUCGACAACACACCCGGUGAAAUUGAAAUACCAGUGAAGAUGCUGGUUACCUGCGCCAGGACGGAAAGACCCCAUGAGCUUUACUCUAGUUUGAUACUGGGACCCGGUAUGACAUGUACAGGAUAGGUGGGAGGCAGAGAAUUAAUGACGCCAGUCAUUAAGGAGCCGCUGUUGGGAUACCACCCUUGUGAUGCCAGGUUUCUAACGAGCUGCCGUGAACCGGCAGGCGGACAAUGUCAGGCGGGGAGUUUGACUGGGGCGGUCGCCUCCGAAAGGGUAUCGGAGGCGCUCAAAGGUUCCCUCAGAAUGGUUGGAAACCAUUCGGAGAGUGCAAAGGCAGAAGGGAGCCUGACUGCGACACCGACGGGUGGAGCAGGUACGAAAGUAGGACUUAGUGAUCCGGUGGUAUAAAGUGGGAUUGCCAUCGCUCAACGGAUAAAAGCUACCCUGGGAUAACAGGCUUAUCACUCCCAAGAGUUCACAUCGACGGAGUGGUUUGGCACCUCGAUGUCGGCUCAUCGCAUCCUGGGGCUGGAGUAGGUCCCAAGGGUUGGGCUGUUCGCCCAUUAAAGCGGUACGCGAGCUGGGUUCAGAACGUCGUGAGACAGUUCGGUCCCUAUCCGGCGCGGGCGUAAGAGAUCUGAGAGGAGCUGUCCUAGUACGAGAGGACCGGGAUGGACGGACCACUGGUGUAUCUGUUGCACCACCAGGUGCACGGCAGAGUAGCCAAGUCCGGACGGGAUAAACGCUGAAGGCAUCUAAGCGUGAAGCCCCCCUCAAGAUGAGAUCUCUCAUUCGAAAGAAGUAAGACCCCUUGAAGACGACGAGGUAGAUAGGGCAGGGGUGGAAGGGCAGUAAUGUCCGGAGCUGACUGUUACUAAUCGGUCGAGGGCUUGAUCAA